UCUAACCCAUGACCAUCUCUCCACCAAUCAGGUCUAACCCAUGACAGUCUCUCUCCACCAAUCAGGUCUAACCCAUGACCAUCUCUCCAUGUUACCAGUGAAUAUUCAGUCUCUUCACAGCACUUGUUCAGUGUGUCAGGAUGAAGACGAGAGAGGGGAACUAUGAGCAAGAUCAAUCUGGAUUGAGCCCAGAUAUUACAACCAAAACCCUCAAUGCAGGUGUCUAUAUCCAUCUAUUCUCUUCAGUAGAGAGUCAGACUGAGGAUGUUGUUGGGAAUUCUGUGCUUUUGUCCUGUUUUUACAGUGACAAUAAAAUAAAGUCAAGACAUGACAGUGUAUUGAGACACAAUGAGUGGGAAUAUAUAAGACAUUAUUCAGAAAAAUGAUUCACUUGAUCCAGAAUACAAUUUUUUUUUUUUCCAGAAGAAUUUAGAAAGAGAAACUUCAGCCGCAUACUCACCUGCUGCAUCAUCUGUAUAUUUGCUGUGCUGAUAAACAAAGUGUGUCUGCAGGUCACAGUAGAGGGUUUUAUUGGUGGUUCUGUUGUGCUGCCGUGUUCUUCAGAUAAACAUGAUCAUAAACUUCAAGACACUGAUGUGUUUUGGAGACACAAUAGCAGCAAAAUCGUAUUUGAUAUAAUUCCACACAGUAAUUCAACAGUGACACAGGAUCCAGAGUACAAGAACAGAGUUGAAACUUUCCCUCAGGAGUAUAUGAGAGGAAACUUCUCCAUCAAACUCAACAAUCUUCAACACACUGAUGCAGGACGAUACAUCUGUUACAUCUCACACUCAUCUAAAUAUCAGACUCUAAAGCUGAUCAUCAAUGGAUCAAUAUCCACUGAACGAGGAACAGAACAGGAGGAAAUGGUGCCAUCACUGCCUUUGCUCUUGGUUUGCAUUAUAUUACCUGUGAUGUUAUUUGUAGUGGUUGUUAUUUUUAUUGCAGUUUUCUGGAGAAAAAAAGCGCUCAUCAGCAGGGCAGCUGGAAACGGUGUGAGUUCAGCCACUCCUGAGGAUGUGAGCCCUUGUGCACAAUUUAAACCAGUAAAGGCUGAUAAUCAUGAUGAAGCAGUCGGUAAAUGAAAAACUGCUCUUUUACGCAGCAACUGCUUGAGCUUUUGCAUUAAAAAUGGAGUCAGAGGAGGUUGGUGCUUUCAUUGUUGUUGCCGCAGCUUCGGGUAGAAAAAUAAAAAUAAAGUCCAGUAAGCAAAGGAUUUGUUUGAAGAACAGAAAACAGCUAGAAUGAGUGUGUUUCAUAUCUUCCUUAUGUUCACUCUA